AUGGUUAGUCGAGGAGCAACGAGACCCAACGGGCCCAAUACUGGAAAUAAGAUAUGCCAGUUCAAACUAGUGUUUCUGGGCGAGUCCGCUGUCGGUAAGUCGAGCCUGGUGCUUCGCUUUGUGAAAGGCCAAGUUUCAUGAAUUUCAAGAGAGUACCAUUGGGGCUGCUUUUCUAACCCAAACUGUGUGUCUUGAUGACACUACAGUAAAGUUUGAAAUCUGGGAUACAGCUGGCCAAGAACGAUACCAUAGCCUAGCCCCAAUGUAUUACAGAGGAAAGCAAGCUGCCAUAGUUGUGUAUGAUGUCACAAAUGAGGAGUCCUUUGCAAGAGCAAAAAAUUGGGUUAAAGAACUUCAGAGGCAAGCAAGUCCUAACAUUGUAAUAGCUUUAUCAGGAAACAAGGCUGACCUAGCAAAUAAAAGAGCUGUAGACUUCCAGGAAGCACAGUCCUAUGCAGAUGACAACAGUUUAUUAUUCAUGGAGACGUCAGCUAAAACAUCAGUGAAUGUAAAUGAAAUAUUCAUGGCAAUAGCUAAAAAAUUGCCUAAGAAUGAACCACAGAAUCCAGGAGCAAAUUCUGCCAGAGGAAGAGGAGUAGACCUUACUGAAUCCACACAACCGACCAGGAGUCAGUGUUGUAGUAACUAGACCCCCAGUUUGAACUAACUGGAAUGAAUAUUCUUCUGCUUCCUAAAUGUUAAUAACAAUGGAAUUGGAGCAUUUAACCAGCCCAGUAUGACUUCUAAAAAGAAGAGACUUAUGAUAGAGUAAAGUUUCUAAUACAGAAUUAUUUUAA